UGCACAAUGGCAGCCUUAGGAUGAGACACAAAUACUGGACUGAUGAAGAAUGGCUACUACGAAGGAUGAAGGUUUCCCAGGGACAACUGUCCAUGGAGACUUUUGCUGGCUUGAACGUUGUUAGAUGAGCACUUUCUGCUAUCUUUCCUGGGCCCCAAACUGUGUUGAACUCUGUUCUGAACACUGGCGUGUACAUCGCCCCCAAACAUCUAAGACUCCAUGGACUCUUAAAAAUAUUUUUCCGAGAAUAACCUGGCCAUCAAGCUUUUGAAGACAGAAUUCUGUUGACAGAACUCUUAAGUUUGGAAAUGCUUGAGACAGAAAACAGGUCAGAAUAUCAAGUAUUUAUCAAAAAGGAGGGCAGAGCGUGAUGCUUUGAACUCAGAUGAUAAAUCCAUAUGCCAGUCUUUCCUCAAGACCUGAUCACCAGAGGGAGAAGUAUCUUCAGAAGACAGCAAGUUAAAGCCAGCCUGAUCAAAAGGCCACAUGGGAGGAUGGAAGAGAGAGCUUGGCAACAAGGGUCUUUGUUGCCCUUUCAGAAGGCUGGAAUUCAGUUUACAUCAGUCACUUGCCAGCUUAACACCAUCUAUGACUGUAGUUCCAGGGCAUCUGACGCUCCUUCUGACUUCCUCUUCCCCUGAAUACAUAAGGUGCACGAAUAUAGAAGGCAUGUGCACAUAUAAUAAAUAAGCACACUGAUAAUAAACAAAUAAAUAUAAAAA